UACAGAGGGGGCAAGCGUUGUUCGGAAUUACUGGGCGUAAAGGGCGCGUAGGCGGCCUGCUAAGUCGAACGUGAAAUCCCCGAGCUCAACUCGGGAACUGCGUCCGAUACUGGCAGGCUUGAAUCCGGGAGAGGGAUGCGGAAUUCCAGGUGUAGCGGUGAAAUGCGUAGAUAUCUGGAGGAACACCGGUGGCGAAGGCGGCGUUCUGGACUGUCUCUGACACUGAAGAACGAAAGCCAGGGGAGCAAACGGG
rnacentral:rRNA from 1 species